rnacentral:rRNA from 1 species
UACGGAGGGGGCUAGCGUUGUUCGGAAUUACUGGGCGUAAAGCGCACGUAGGCGGCUUUGUAAGCUAGAGGUGAAAGCCCGGGGCUCAACCCCGGAACUGCCUUUAAGACUGCAUCGCUUGAAUCCAGGAGAGGUGAGUGGAAUUCCGAGUGUAGAGGUGAAAUUCGUAGAUAUUCGGAAGAACACCAGUGGCGAAGGCGGCUCACUGGCCUGGUAUUGACGCUGAGGUGCGAAAGCGUGGGGAGCAAACAGG